rnacentral:lncRNA from 1 species
AUACACAACGGCAGCUUUCCUACUGAUCAAUUAGUCCAGGCACAUUGACACAAGCCCCUGGAUUUUGCAACGUGAUGGCGGUGUUUGACAACUACCAUUCUGCUUUAGCUUUCCUCCAGAGCAAUUAAAAUUCUGAACCUUUUAUGGCUCUGGAAGCUUAUCCGAUGAAACAAUACUCAUCCAGGCGGAUGGCCCACCAGCGCAAAGGGCUGAAAAGUUCCAUGGCAGCCUCAUAACUGGAGGGUGUGUCCAUGAGGAGGGUUUCGAUGACACGCUGAAAGCUCGGGCAGAUCUCUGCAGAAGCUGCAACACAGAGGAGAGAAGGCACAUGUCUCCAGGCCCCUUUCCAAGCUGGCUAGCCCUCUGGCUGGGUCUGCCCAGAUGCAAACAGCCAGGCCCAUCAGCGAGAGAUAGCAGCCUUUUCAUCGAUGGACUAGAGUGUAAGAUUUGUGGAUUGCCCGAGUCUUCCUUAGACUUCUUGGGUUGAGGUGAGCAAGGUGCCGUUUUUCUUUCUGUUGGAGAUCAAGGCAGAGUAUUGAUCAUAGAAGCUGCUGGCCUGAUUUUUUAAUGCAGUGUGGAGGCUGGGAAGAGGCCACUGAGGGUUUUAUUUCCCACCAGAAACUUGCCUCUCAUCAGUGGUUAGAGAUGCCCUGAGCCAUGCUUCACUGGGGGCAUGUGACAAAUUCAGGCUCUGGCAGGAAAAAGCGAUUGUAAGCCAGGCACGGUGGCUCACACCUGUAAUCCCAGCACUUUGGGAGGCCGAGGCAGGCAGAUCACGAGGUCAGGAGUUCGAGACCAGCCUGGCCAACAUGGUGAAACCCCGUCUCUACUAAAAAUACAAAAAAUUAGCCGGGCGUGGUUCUGGGCACCCGUAAUCCUAGCUACUCAGGAGGCUGAGGCAGGAGAAUCACUUGAAUCCAGGAAGCAGAAGUUGCAGUGAGCUGAGAUCUCGUCACUGCACUCCAGCCUGGGCAACAGAGCGAGAUUCUGUCUCAAAAAGCAAGCAAGCAAGCAAGCAAGCAAGCAAGCAAGAGAAAAGAAAAAGAAGAAAAGAAAAGAAAAGAAAAGAAGCCAUUGAGAUUGUACCAGCCAAACAUGGGCCCCCGAACCUGGCCGGGAAGAGGUGUGCACAUGUGCACAGCGGGCCCUGUGGCACACUCAGCUCAUGGACAGAGCAGCCACUUGUACCACUUCAUUCCCUUCAACACAGAGCUUCCAGACUCUGUUUUCUUCUCAGGUCCUUACAACCAGGAACAUGGGGGAAAGUCACCAUUUUCUACCCACUGCUUGCCUCCAUCUUCCCAGGCUGAGGCCGCUGUAAGCCAAGGUACGCAACGCUUGCUAAACAGGAAUCCCUGGAAUGAAUCCAUGCAUGAGGCCUUUGUGCCAUGUGACAGUUGAAGGCUGUGGUGACCCCGGAACCGUCCCACUCCGAGACGCCUUAACACCGUUUUUCUGCUGUUACAAACCACAGAGCAACGCGUGUGCCUCCUCCCGCCCUGGGGACUCUUUCUGUGGGAGAGGUGCCUGGAUUUAGAGGAGCGACCACUCUUCAUUUGUAGGAUCUUGGUCACUUUCCCAGUUGUCACUCGGCCCACAAACUAGGAUGUGAGCAGCAUAUUAAGAAUCUGCAGAGAUGUUCCCGUCUGCCCGGCAUAUGGAUGUCCUUCUGGGCUGCAAAGUGGCAUCCUGUGGGCAACUCCCCCCACAACAACCAGCUGUGAGCUGUGCCCAGGCACAGAGGGACCUGGCUUUCCCUGUUUCUGCAGAUGGAGCCCAGGGUUUCAGGGAGGGAGGGGGCAGGCUGGGACCUGUUGGGGAUCUGGGCACUUUCUCAUGCUCCUUGAGCUGCAAGUCAUAGAAGGAGUGGGGUGGGAGCUGGGAAUGUACCUUCCCAAGGCCACUGGCAGAACCAGCAGGCCCUUUGCUCUGGGAUGAGCUCCCUCUGAGGGGUGGGGACAGUAAAGCGGACCGAAGUCCCUGUUCUGCGGGAUGGAAACUGGCUCCCCUCCAUUGUACAGGCCAGCUCUGGGGAUUUGGGCAGCAGAUUUGGGGUUGACAGCAGAAUGACAUGAUCACCAGUUGACCUUGGCCAGGAUGCCAGCUUACUUUCUCGCUUACUUCUGCAGGUUCUUUGUUCUGCGGGUGAGUCACCCAGGUCCUGCCCUCCGUGCCUGUCUGCCCUCUCCCACUUUCCCUGCCCUGAGCUUGUUCCCACUUGUAGAUUUGGCAGGUCACUGCCAAGGCCCCUAUUCCCCCAACAUGGCCAGUGCCCUAAGGGUGGGUUGUACAGGGAGGAGCUGGCGUGGUCAGUAGACUUGAAUCAGGGACAACUCGGCUGCUGAAGGCUGAGGGGGCCUUGCAGGGCUGCAGGUGCCUUGUGCACACAGGGAGUGGGUAGAGAAGGCAACCAGGGGCUCCUUCAGGCCUUAAUGCUCUGCAGCCCAGUGAGGCUGUGCCCAGAGAGUCUGGCGAGGCCCUGGUCUGCUCCCCCAGCCAAUGGCCUGAUGCUGUUCCAUCUGGGCACCCUGUCACUUUUCGUUCAUCAGGGAGUACAGGGUGAUUCAGGGUCUCAAAUGCAGGUGUUCACAAAAUGAAAUAGAACUUCCCUCUAUCCCCGUGCUUCUUUUUAUUUUUAUAACAAAUAUACAUCGUUAUAUUUUAUUUUUAUAUUUAUGUAUUUUAUAUAUAUGUGACAUCUACUACAUGACAGAAAAUAUUUAUGGCCAGGCAAGGUGGCUUACACCUGUAAUGCCAGCACUUUGGGAGGCUGAGGCAGGCGGAUCACCUGAGGUCGAGAGUUGGAGACCAGUGUGACCAACAUGGAGAAACCCCAUCUCUACUAAAAAUACAAAAUCAGCUGGGGGUGGUGGCGCAUGCCUGUAAUCCCAGCUACUCGGGAAGCUGAGGCAGGAGAAUCGCUUGAACCGGGGAGGCGGAGGUUGUGGUGAGCCGAGAUUGCACCAUUGCACUCCAGCCUGGCAACAAGGGAUAAACCCCGUCUCAAAAAAAAAAAAAGAAAAAAAAAAAGAAAAAAAUAUUUAUAAUGUAACUAAUAUAGCUAAAAUAAAAUGUAAUUUCAGUCUCAAGCCUUCAUUCUGUUAAGGGGACAGAAACUUAAUCUUGGUCAUCUUGGGGUCUCCCUCCCUGGGGCUGUGCCUGACUUCCAGGGGGCUCGGCGUUGGCAGGAUUUCUGGUGCUUGAGGUCACCUGUCAGCCUGUCUCUUGUCAUUGGCUAUCCGCCGUGCCAUCUGCUCCUGUGUGUCCUUGGCACUGUUCGCAUGUCUCCAGCUCGCUGGCUUUCUCUGCCACCUUGGAGCCACUCCUGGGUGCACAGGAGUCUUACUGCUCCCACGCUGUGCUGGGGCCUGGGAAGACUGCUGUGGCCUACCUGCCUCCGUGUAGCACACACACCCAUUUCUUCUUCUUCUUCUCCUUCUCCUUCUUCAGACAGAGACUCACUCUGUCACCUAGGCUGGACUGCAGUGGUGCCAAAUUGGCUCACUGCAACCUCCGCCUCCCGGGUU